rnacentral:piRNA from 1 species
UGUAAUAAAAAUAUAGAGCCUUUCAAAC